rnacentral:rRNA from 1 species
UACGGAGGAUCCAAGCGUUAUCCGGAUUUAUUGGGUUUAAAGGGAGCGUAGGCGGCCAAUUAAGUCAGGGGUGAAAGGCGGUGGCUCAACCAUCGCAGUGCCUUUGAUACUGAUUGGCUUGAAUGUAGUUGAGGUAGGCGGAAUGUGACAAGUAGCGGUGAAAUGCAUAGAUAUGUCACAGAACACCGAUUGCGAAGGCAGCUUACUAAGCUAUAAUUGACGCUGAGGCUCGAAAGCGUGGGGAUCAAACAGG